rnacentral:lncRNA from 1 species
GGACAGGCUCCUCCCUCUAGGGAUCGAACGCCCUGCGGAGACAGGAACGUGGCGUGGAACCCAGCAGGGCCCUGGCGGUGACCCCGGGAUGAGGAAGCUCUGUUUACCUAAAUGAAAAGCUUUCUAGGAGGAAGUCCUAAGUGAACAAUGAUGCAUGAGGAUGCAAUCUUACAGGCAAGGAGCCCAGUGAUAACAAAUGGCUGUAGAUGCUUUUCCUCCAUCAAGCUUCCAGGAGGAGAUGAGAUGGAGCCCAUCGCUGAGCCAAGGUCACCAGCCCCAUUUCACAAAUGUAAAUAGCAGGUGUCCCCCACACAGUCUGAACACUUGGAGGCCAAGAUUCAUUUCUCUCAGGGCCCACCAUCCUCAAGCAUGGGAUUGAUUUAGUGCCUCUUGCUGGGAAGCAAAGUUCUGGGAGCCAUAGUGGGAUCCUCCCUCCCUCCCUGCAGGAGACUGGGGCCCUUCCAAGCAGCAACUGAGACCAGUCAACAACCUCUGCCUUAGGCCAGGCGCGGUGGCUCACGCCUGUAAUCCCAACACUUUGGGAGGCUGAGGCGGGCAGAUCAUCUGAGGUCAGGAGUUCAAAACCAUCCUGGCCAACAUGGUGAAACCCCGUCUCUACUAAAAAUACAAAAAUUAGCUGGGCGUGGUGGUGCGUGCCUGUUGUCCUAGCUACUCCGGAGGCCAAGGCAGGAGAAUUCCUUGAACCUGGGAGACAGAGGUUGCAGGUCUGAGAUUGCACCACAGCAUCCAGCCUGGGCGACAGAGUGAGACCCUGUCUCAAAAAGAAACAAAUUAAAAAACAAAAAACAAAAAACAACCUCUGCCUGCCCUUGGGGCCUAGCAUGAGCCCCUGCACACAGGAGGCUUCUAUAAAAAUAGCUCAUUUCGGGUAAUCUAGGGCAGAACCCAGGCUUUUACCACUUGUGGUUUCUCUUUCUAAAUGUGUAGUUAAAAGCUGUAGGCCAGACCUGGUGCAUGGUGGCUCAUGCCUGGAAUCCCAACACUUUGGGAGGCUGAGGUGGGAGAAUCACUUGAGGUCAGGAAUUUGAGAUCAGCUUGGCCAAUAUAGCAAGACCCUGACUCUUUAAAAAAAAAAUUUUUUUUUUAAUUAGCCAGGCAAGGUGGUUGUGCCUAUAGUUCCAGCUACUCAGGAGGCUGAGGCAGGAGGCUCACUUGAGCCCAGGAGUGCGAGGCUGCAGUGAGCUGUGACUGCACUGCUACACUCCAGCCUGGACAAACUGAGCAAGACC